rnacentral:rRNA from 1 species
UACGAAGGGGGCUAGCGUUGCUCGGAAUUACUGGGCGUAAAGCGCACGUAGGCGGUCUUUUAAGUCGGGGGUGAAAUCCUGGAGCUCAACUCCAGAACUGCCUUCGAUACUGGAAGACUCGAGUCCGGGAGAGGUGAGUGGAACUGCGAGUGUAGAGGUGAAAUUCGUAGAUAUUCGCAAGAACACCAGUGGCGAAGGCGGUCAACUGGCUUUUAACUGACGCUCAGGCACGAAAGCGUGGGUAGCGAACAGG